rnacentral:rRNA from 1 species
AUUGAACGCUGGCGGCAUGCUUUACACAUGCAAGUCGAACGGCAGCACGGGGGCGAACCCUGGUGGCGAGUGGCGAACGGGUGAGUAACACAUCGGAACGUGCCCAGUUGUGGGGGAGUAACCUAUCGAAAGGUAGGCUAAUACCGCAUGAGCUCGGUAAGAGGAAAGCGGGGGACUCAGCGAUGGGCCUCGCGCGACUGGAGCGGCCGAUGUCCGAUUAGCUAGNGGUGGGGUAAAGGCUUACCAAGGCGACGAUCGGUAGCUGGUCUGAGAGGAUGAUCAGCCACACUGGGACUGAGACACGGCCCAGACUCCUACGGGAGGCAGCAGUGGGGAAUUUUGGACAAUGGGGCAACCCUGAUCCAGCCAUGCCGCGUGAGUGAAGAGGG